CGCGGCCUAUCAGCUUGUUGGUGGGGUGACGGCCUACCAAGGCGACGACGGGUAGCCGGCCUGAGAGGGUGUCCGGCCACACUGGGACUGAGAUACGGCCCAGACUCCUACGGGAGGCAGCAGUGGGGAAUAUUGCACAAUGGGCGCAAGCCUGAUGCAGCGACGCCGCGUGGGGGAUGACGGCCUUCGGGUUGUAAACCUCUUUCACCAUCGACGAAGGUCCGGGGUUUCUCGGAUUGACGGUAGGUGGAGAAGAAGCACCGGCCAACUACGUGCCAGCAGCCGCGGUAAUACGUAGGGUGCGAGCGUUGUCCGGAAUUACUGGGCGUAAAGAGCUCGUAGGUGGUUUGUCGCGUUGUUCGCGAAAUCUCACGGCUUAACUGUGAGCGUGCGGGCGAUACGGGCAGACUGGAGUACUGCAGGGGAGACUGGAAUUCCUGGUGUAGCGGUGGAAUGCGCAGAUAUCAGGAGGAACACCGGUGGCGAAGGCGGGUCUCUGGGCAGUAACUGACGCUGAGGAGCGAAAGCGUGGGGAGCGAACAGGAUUAGAUACCCUGGUAGUCCACGCCGUAAACGGUGGGUACUAGGUGUGGGUUUCCUUCCUUGGGAUCCGUGCCGUAGCUAACGCAUUAAGUACCCCGCC
rnacentral:rRNA from 1 species